AUUGAACGCUAGCGGGAUGCUUUACACAUGCAAGUCGAACGGCAGCGCGGACUUCGGUCUGGCGGCGAGUGGCGAACGGGUGAGUAAUGUAUCGGAACGUGCCCAGUAGCGGGGGAUAACUACGCGAAAGCGUAGCUAAUACCGCAUACGCCCUACGGUGGAAAGCAGGGGAUCGUAAGACCUUGAACUAUUGGAGCGGCCGAUAUCGGAUUAGCUAGUUGGUGAGGUAACGGCUCACCAAGGCGACGAUCCGUAGCUGGUUUGAGAGGACGACCAGCCACACUGGGACUGAGACACGGCCCAGACUCCUACGGGAGGCAGCAGUGGGGAAUUUUGGACAAUGGGGGCAACCCUGAUCCAGCCAUCCCGCGUGUGCGAUGAAGGCCUUCGGGUUGUAAAGCACUUUUGGCAGGAAAGAAACUUCGCGUGCUAAUACCCCGUGGAACUGACGGUACCUGCAGAAUAAGCACCGGCUAACUACGUG
rnacentral:rRNA from 1 species